GACGAACGCUGGCGGCGUGCCUAAUACAUGCAAGUAGAACGCUGAAGGAGGAGCUUGCUUCUCCGGAUGAGUUGCGAACGGGUGAGUAACGCGUAGGUAACCUGCCUGGUAGCGGGGGAUAACUAUUGGAAACGAUAGCUAAUACCGCAUAACAGUAGAUAUCGCAUGAUAUCUGCUUGAAAGGUGCAAUUGCAUCACUACCAGAUGGACCUGCGUUGUAUUAGCUAGUUGGUGAGGUAACGGGUCACCAAGGCGACGAUACAUAGCCGACCUGAGAGGGUGAUCGGCCACACUGGGACUGAGACACGGCCCAGACUCCUACGGGAGGCAGCAGUAGGGAAUCUUCGGCAAUGGACGGAAGUCUGACCGAGCAACGCCGCGUGAGUGAAGAAGGUUUUCGGAUCGUAAAGCUCUGUUGUAAGAGAAGAACGAGUGUGAGAGUGGAAAGUUCACACUGUGACGGUAUCUUACCAGAAAGGGACGGCUAACUACGUG
rnacentral:rRNA from 1 species